GACGAACGCUGGCGGCGUGCUUAACACAUGCAAGUCGAGCGGUAAGGCCCUUUCGGGGGUACGACGAGCGGCGAACGGGUGAGUAACACGUGGGUGACCUGCCCUCAGCUCUGGGAUAAGCCUGGGAAACCGGGUCUAAUACCGGAUAUGACUCCAUGACGCAUGUUGUGGGGUGGAAAGCCUUGUGCGGCUGAGGAUGGGCCCGCGGCCUAUCAGCUUGUUGGUGGGGUGAUGGCCUACCAAGGCGACGACGGGUAGCCGGCCUGAGAGGGCGACCGGCCACACUGGGACUGAGACACGGCCCAGACUCCUACGGGAGGCAGCAGUGGGGAAUCUUGCGCAAUGGGCGAAAGCCUGACGCAGCGACGCCGCGUGUGGGAUGACGGCCU
rnacentral:rRNA from 1 species